rnacentral:tRNA from 1 species
GAUGGUGUAGCUCAGCUCAGUGGUAGAGCACUUGCCUAGCAUAUGAGAGACCCUGGGUUCCAUCCCCAGUGCCACCA